GUCUAAGUAUAAGCAACUAUACGGUGAAACUGCGAAUGGCUCAUUAAAUCAGUUAUCGUUUAUUUGAUAGUACCUUACUACUUGGAUAACCGUGGUAAUUCUAGAGCUAAUACAUGCUAAAAACCCCGACUUCGGAAGGGGUGUAUUUAUUAGAUAAAAAACCAGCGCCCUUCGGGGCUCCUUGGUGAUUCAUAAUAACUAAACGAAUCGCAUGGCCUUGCGCCGGCGAUGGUUCAUUCAAAUUUCUGCCCUAUCAACUUUCGAUGGUAGGAUAGUGGCCUACCAUGGUAUCAACGGGUAACGGGGAAUUAGGGUUCUAUUCCGGAGAGGGAGCCUGAGAAACGGCUACCACAUCCAAGGAAGGCAGCAGGCGCGCAAAUUACCCAAUCCCGACACGGGGAGGUAGUGACAAUAAAUACUGAUACAGGGCUCUUUUGGGUCUUGUAAUUGGAAUGAGUACAAUUAAAUACCUUAACGAGGAACAAUUGGAGG
rnacentral:rRNA from 1 species